ensembl:lncRNA
CCGCUCCAGUCUGUAAGAAAUGGAGACAGCAGACAAGUGUAGAAAAGUGCAGUAGAACAUAUGAGCUUUUUUACAGACAGUCAGUAACUAGAUUCCUAAACAGUGUGUGUUUGUGGUCACCGAUGAAGAUGGCUGUAUCUGAGGUGAGCUGUUGUCAUAGAAACAACACCCCGGUCUACAAGCUCCACGGUGACGUGAAUCCUGACUGCACCAUCACCUGGCUCACCCGAGACAACAAGAUGAUUGUAGAUGAUUCUGGUAAUGUGGACCCGGACACCGUAGUUUCAUACGAACACGGUGAGCUGACCGUGAAGAGCCGAGACUGUGAUGUGUUGGUCAGAGAGGACUGUCUGACUCUGGGGGAGCGCAAAAUAAACUGCACAGCUCUGUGUGAACCAGAAAAGCCUAAUGUAACUGAAAAUCUGACUACAGAAGACAGGAUCUCUCCUCUGAUCAUCAGCUUCAUCAUUCUCGGCCUCGUCGUCCUCCUCCUCCUCCUCAUCCCCAUUAGUGUUGGUGUGGUGGUGUAUAAGAGACUCCAAGGGAGCCAUGACUUUGAAAAUGCGAACACCAUUAACGAAACUAACGACCACCACAACAUCGUGGAACUCCAGCCUCUUCAGUGAGGUUGUAUAAACCGUGCCAGCGUUUGGCCGUCUGUAGAUGAAGUUAUAAAUGUAGAGGCAGGUGCGGAGACUUCCGCUGGAAUUACAAUGAGAUCUUCAAGGUGAUUUUCUUCAUUUUCAGUUUAAAAUGUAAGAACGUCACACCUGAAUGAGAAUCAGUACAAAG